CAGUCUGCUGCAGCAAAUAGGCCAGGCGCUUAUCCUUCUUCUGGUCAAUCAGUUUUCGGUAACCCUCCUCAUCCUCGGCCUGGGGAAAACAAACGGAGAGGAAUGGAAGGGCCUUGGCGUCCAGGGCGGUCUCGAGAGCUGUGUCCCGUCGCAUGCACACCACCACCUCCUGACGCAGCUACGGGCAGCGGUGCACACGGAAACAUGAACUCUCCUCAGAAGAAACGCACAGAAUGCCAAAAAGAUGUUAUCUUUAUGGCUGGAGGAUCUCCACGGGGUCGAGGCCGCAGGGUUUCUGGAUGGGAGUGAUGCGGUUCUGCUUGGCGUGGUAAGGCAUCAUGGGAGGAGGCUGAGCUGGCUGACCAG